rnacentral:rRNA from 1 species
CUACGGGUUGCUCCAGUGGGGAAUAUUGGACAAUGGGGGAAACCCUGAUCCAGCAAUGCCGCGUGUGUGAAGAAGGCCUGCGGGUCGUAAAGCACUUUCGGUUGGGAGGACUGCUUCUAGCACUAAUAUUGUUGGAAGUUGACGUUACCUUCAGAAGAAGCACCGGCUAACUCCGUGCCAGCAGCCGCGGUAAUACGGAGGGUGCAUGCGUUAAUCGGAAUUACUGGGCGUAAAGCGCGCGUAGGCGGCUAGAUCAGUCGGGUGUGAAAGCCCCGGGCUUAACCAGGGAACUGCAUCCGAUACUGUCUAGAUUGAGUACAGGAGAGGAGAGUGGAAUUCCACAUGUAGCGGUGAAAUGCGUAGAUAUGUGGAGGAACACCAAUGGCGAAGGCAGCUCUCUGGCCUGAUACUGACGCUGAGGUGCGAAAGCGUGGGGAGCAAACAGGAUUAGAUACCCCAGUAGUC